rnacentral:misc_RNA from 1 species
GUUCCGUAGGUGAACCUGCGGAAGGAUCAUUCAUAAUAAGUGUUUUAUGGCACUUUUUAAAUCCAUAUCCACCUUGUGUGCAAUGUCGGGGUUGAUUUUUCUCUCGAGAGGAUCAGCCCCAAACAUCAACUAUAUCUCAACUCUUUGUCUGAAAAAUAUUAUGAAUAAAACAAUUCAAAAUACAACUUUCAACAACGGAUCUCUUGGCUCUC